UCAACAAAAAAAAAAAAAAUGUAAUCACAAGCAAAUUCUGCGAGUGGUCCCCCUUAACCCCUUUUCUUUCCGCAAUUGUAAUUGCAUAAUAUUCUUAAAUCACGACAGUUAGAAUAAUUAACAAGCUAUUGACUCGCUAAUUAGAACAAUUCUAACACAUUUUAGCUAAUACACAUAUAGGUACACAACCACACCUUGACAGCCACGUGUACGUUCCUCUCUUGCUUGGGUCACAAUACACGCUUGCCCAGCUUUUCCAGCCAAAGAAAAAGGCCAAAAAGCAGAACAAAUUCAGGUAAAUGAUUUAAUCAAAGCCUCCUCAGCUCUCAAAUCUAUUACCUACAAAUCCUGGCAUCCUAAGGAACCGGGUUCCACCCCUAUAUUAAUCUUAUUUUUAAAGGAAAAAAGAAAGCUACUAAUGCUAUUUACCAUUACCCUGGAACCUUGUGCUGUAAUUGCAUCUGAUUGAAGCUUUCAAUGGAAUAAAACUAAUUAAAGAAAAUAAGAAACAAGACCUGAGUAAGAAAAGGGAAGUAGGUGAGGGCUUAC
rnacentral:misc_RNA from 1 species